GACGAACGCUGGCGGCGUGCCUUAUACAUGCAAGUCGAGUGGGUUUAGACCCACGGCAAACGGGUGAGUAACACGUAGGUACUUUCCUUGUCACAGGAAUAACCCUCCGAAAGGAGGGCUAAUACCUGAUGUGAUCGCAAGAUUAAAGGGUAUCCGCAAGGAUUACCGGACAAGAAGAGGCCUGCGGCCUAUCAGCUAGUUGGCGGGGUAAAUGCCCACCAAGGCUAUGACGGGUAGCUGGUCUUAUGAGGAUGAUCAGUCACAUGGGCACUGAGACACGGGCCCAACUCCUACGGGAGGCAGCAGUAGGGAAUUUUGCGCAAUGGGCGAAAGCCUGACGCAGCGACGCCGCGUGCGGGAUGAAGGCCUUCGGGUCGUAAACCGCUUUUAUAAGGGACGAACUUUGACGGUACCUUAUGAAUAAGAGGUUGCUAACUCUGUG
rnacentral:rRNA from 1 species